rnacentral:ncRNA from 2 species
AAUAUGGUUUAGGGGAGCUGAGGGGGUAAGCUCGGCUGAGAGUAGGCACCGAAAACCCUGUGCCUUGACCCUUGGAACCUGCUCCGGGUAAUGCCGGCGAAGGGAAAAAGACGACGUUAAAG